UCGCUAGAUAGUAUACUUCAAAAUAAGGUUUCCAUUUUUAUAACGUAGAAAAAACUAUCCUAACGCAAAACUAAACCCUAACCCUAAUACUAACCCUAACCCUCACCUAAACCCUAACCUCACCCUAACUUAUUUUAAUUAUUUUAAAAAUUGAUAUAAAAACGGAAAUCUUAUUUUGAAGUAUACUAUCUAGCAAUUGCCAUGUGGGAACUGCGAAGCCUCGAAGCUAGGCAAGAUAUAGGUAAGUUUUUUUAUUAAAAUCAUGUCAAAUUUAAACUUAUUUGUCGCUGGAAGCAUUCAUCAAGGUAGCGAACGGUUUAGUAACAUUUCACGCGGAAGACAAUGUUCUCAGUUUAGUUUUCUUUUAUUAUUUGCUCACACUUUGCCGAUGGAACAGUGGACCGCACCCCAACGUAGAUCAGAUUCUUGAUGAGGGACAUCGACUUUAAUAUCUCGAUGCUUUUGAAAGUAGAUCCAUCCCUGACAGAGACGUCGUCCCUGGACUACCAGCCCCGUGAGACGCGAUGGCCUCUUGACGCAAAUACUAUGCAAAUUUAUAGACAAACAAACGAUGCAUUCGACGAGCACGAAAAUCACAGCUUGUACUAUAAUACGUUCAGCUUUGAUGAAUGCUUUUUCAACAGGGUUCGAUAAAACCUUUUUUUUUUAAUUUUUUUUCUUUUAUUACCAGUAAUAAAAG